AUACGGAGGGUGCGAGCGUUAAUCGGAAUUACUGGGCGUAAAGCGCGCGCAGGCGGUCUUUUAAGUUGGAUGUGAAAGCCUACGGCUCAACCGUAGAACUGCAUCCAAAACUAUUAGACUAGAGUGUGAGAGAGGAAGAUGGAAUUAGUUGUGUAGGGGUAAAAUCCGUAGAGAUAACUAGGAAUACCAAAAGCGAAGGCAAUCUUCUGGAACACUACUGACGCUGAGGCGCGAAAGCGUGGGGAGCAAACAGGAUUAGAAACCCUAGUAGUCC
rnacentral:rRNA from 1 species